CAGUAGCCGCGGGAAUACGAAGGGGGCUAGCGUUGCUUGGAAUUACUGGGCGUAAAGGGAGCGUAGGCGGACAUUUAAGUCAGGGGUGAAAUCCCAGAGCUCAACUCUGGAACUGCCUUUGAUACUGGGUGUCUUGAGUGUGAUAGAGGUAUGUGGAACUCCGAGUGUAGAGGUGAAAUUCGUAGAUAUUCGAAAGAACACCAGUGGCGAAGGCGACAUACUGGAUCAUUACUGACGCUGAGGCUCGAAAGCGUGGGGAGCAAACAGGAUUAGAUACCCCCGUAGUCCCUGUCUCUUAUAC
rnacentral:rRNA from 1 species